rnacentral:rRNA from 1 species
UACGUAGGGUGCGAGCGUUAAUCGGAAUUACUGGGCGUAAAGCGUGCGCAGGCUGCUUCGCAAGUCAGGCGUGAAAUCCCCGGGCUUAACCUGGGAAUGGCGUCUGAAACUACGGAGCUAGAGUGUGGCAGAGGGAGGUAGAAUUCCACGUGUAGCGGUGAAAUGCGUAGAUAUGUGGAGGAAUACCGAUGGCGAAGGCAGCCCCCUGGGUCGAUACUGACGCUCAUGCACGAAAGCGUGGGGAGCAAACAGG